rnacentral:rRNA from 1 species
GAAACGACUGCUAAGACUGGAUAGGAAACAGAAAGGCAUCUUUUUGUUUUUAAAAGACCUUCUUCGGAGGGUAUGCUUAAAGAGGGGCUUGCGCCACAUUAGUUAGUUGGUGAGGUAAAGGCUUACCAAGAUUAUGAUGUGUAGCUGGACUGAGAGGUUGAACAGCCACAUUGGGACUGAGACACGGCCCAAACUCCUACGGGAGGCAGCAGUAGGGAAUUUUCGGCAAUGGAGGAAACUCUGACCGAGCGACGCCGCGUGAACGAUGAAGUAUUUCGGUAUGUAAAGUUCUUUUAUUGAAGAAGAAAAAAUAGUGGAAAAACUAUAUUGACGUUAUUCAAUGAAUAAGCCCCGGCUAACUAUGUGCCAGCAGCCGCGGUAAGACAUAGGGGGCGAGCGUUAUCCGGAAUUAUUGGGCGUAAAGGGUGCGUAGGCGGUUAGAUAAGUCUAUAAUUUAAUUUCAGUGCUUAACGCUGUCUUGUUAUAGAAACUGUCUUGACUAGAGUGAGAUAGAGGCAAGCGGAAUUCCAUGUGUAGCGGUAAAAUGUGUAAAUAUAUGGAGGAACACCAGAAGCGUAGGCGGCUUGCUGGGUCUUUACUGACGCUGAGGCACGAAAGCGUGGGGAGCAAACAGGAUUAGAUACCCUGGUAGUCCACGCUGUAAACGAUGAGUACUAAGUGUCGGGGAAACUCGGUACUGAAGUUAACACAUUAAGUACUCCGCCUGAGUAGUACGUACGCAAGUAUGAAACUUAAAGGAAUUGACGGGACUCCGCACAAGCGGUGGAUCAUGUUGUUUAAUUCGAAGAUACACGAAAAACCUUACCAGGUCUUGACAUACUCUGCAAAGCUAUAGAAAUAUAGUGGAGGUUAUCAGGGAUACAGGUGGUGCAUGGUUGUCGUCAGUUCGUGUCGUGAGAUGUUAGGUUAAGUCCUAAAACGAACGCAACCCCUGUCGUUAGUUGCCAGCACGUAAUGGUGGGGACUUUAGCGAGACUGCCAAUUAAACAUUGGAGGAAGGUGGGGAUAACGUCAAAUCAUCAUGCCCCUUAUGAUCUGGGCUACAAACGUGAUACAAUGGCUAUUACAAAGAGUAGCUGAAACGCGAGUUUUUAGCCAAUCUCAAAAAGGUAGUCUCAGUACGGAUUGAAGUCUGCAACUCGACUUCAUGAAGCUGGAAUCGCUAGUAAUCGCGAAUCAGCAUGUCGCGGUGAAUACGUUCUCGGGGUU